rnacentral:misc_RNA from 1 species
GAUGAAGAACGCAGCGAAAUGCGAUACGUAAUGUGAAUUGCAGAAUUCAGUGAAUCAUCGAAUCUUUGAACGCAUAUUGCGCUCUCUGGUAUUCCGGAGAGCAUGCUUGUUUGAGUAUCAGUAAACACCUCAACUUCCAUAUCUUUUUUGAAAUGGGAGUUGGACUUGAGUGAUCCCAACGCUUUUCCUCACCGAAAAGUGGCGGGUUACUUGAAAUGCGGGUGCAGCUGGACUUUUCUCUGAGCUAUAAGCAUAUCUAUUUAGUCUGCCUAAAAAACAGAUUAUUACCUUUGCUGCAGCUAACAUAAAGGAGAUUAGUUCUUGUGCUGACUGAUGCAGGAUUCACAAAGACAGGCUUCGGCCGACUUUGUAAACUCGAUCUCAAAUCAAGUAAGACUACCCGCUGAACUUAAGCAUAUCAAUAAGCGGAGGA